rnacentral:lncRNA from 1 species
CAGUUACAUAAAUUCAAUAAUCAUAACACUAACAAUGAAUAAAAGAGAGAAAUUGGAUACCUUAUGCAACAUCAAAGUGAGAGAGAGUUGCAGAAGCAAUAUUCAAGACCAGAUCUGCUUGGAUGCUGCCAAAGAGAGACGUGGCUGCUUAAUCUGAGCGAAUCAGGUGUUGUUUUGAACUUUCAGGCUUCCAGGGUGAACAAGGACACUGAAGCCUGAAACCCUAGCCGUGAGAGGCCCCAGGUGAUUGACACAGAAGGGCUGCA